UACGUAGGGGGCAAGCGUUGUCCGGAUUCAUUGGGCGUAAAGAGCGUGUAGGCGGCCAGGUAGGUCGGUUGUGAAAACUGGAGGCUCAACCUUCAGAGGUCGACCGAAACCAUCUGGCUAGAGUCCGGGAGAGGAGAGUGGAAUUCCUGGUGUAGCGGUGAAAUGCGCAGAUAUCGGAAGGAACACCAGUGGCGAAAGCGGCUUCCUGGUCCAGCACCGACGUUCAGGCACGAAAGCGUGGGGAGCAAACAGG
rnacentral:rRNA from 1 species